UGGUCUCUCUAUCUCUCUAUAACAUUUGCUCUCCCUUCUCUCUAGAACCUUCUGCUUCUCUCUUUCUUUUCUGAUGGGUUCCAUCGCCAAUCUGACCAACUCGGACCUCACUCCUUUCAACCUUUAGUCGCCAUGGCACUGUAUCUCGUCGUUUCUGUCCAAGGUUUGAAGUCCCAGAAGCUUCCGCCAUGCAAGAUGGUCACUGAAGCCUCGUCUGAGUCCGUUUUCGGCAUUUCUCCGAUGGGUGUUUGUCCGAUGAUGCUUUAAGCUUCAUUUUCACGGCUCUCAUUGAUUCUAUUGCAAACCCUAAUUAUUUCUUAGAGCUCUUAAUCUAUAUCUUUUUAAACGAUUUCUGGUUUAAUCUUCGUGUUCUAUGCUACUUAUUACUAGAUAUCUUCGAUUUAUGUGAUUACUCCUAUGUUAUGUGCUUGAAACCUUUUUUUUCUAAGUUCCAUGACUUAUAUAUUUUCUAGGGUUCCGACUCUACUAUCUAUGUGAUUUCCUGCUUAGAGUUCUUAAUUGUUUUGAGACUACUGUGUUUAAAUACAUUUGAAUGCCCGUCUUUGCUGGAUAUGCUAUUAAUUCCGAGCAUCUCCUUGAAUCCCUGAUUUUCAUGUGUUUUCCUUAAGGGUUCUUACACUAAUUUGGAAUUAUUUCCUUAUUUAUGAGUUAUUUUCUAAACAUAGUAUUUAUUCCAUCUACUUUUGGUCUUGCCUGUGAUUCUUUGAUUGAUUUUCAGAGUUAAUUUUAUAUGGUUACCAUACAUGUGCACAUACAUAUAUUUCUAGUUAUUCCGCGUAUAUUUUCCUUGUUUAAUGCAUCGUGUACCUAGCCUUUAUUUCAUACAUAGUGAUUACUGCUCUUUUUAUGGAAUAAUCAGUUAUCUGACUGAUUAUUUCCUUACAUGACAGUCUAUGC
rnacentral:lncRNA from 1 species